CGAACGCUGGCGGCGUGCUUAACACAUGCACGUCGAACGGAAGGGCCCUGCUUUUGUGGGGUGCUCGAGUGGCGAACGGGUGAGUAACACGUGAGUAACCUGCCCUUGACUUUGGGAUAACUUCAGGAAACUGGGGCUAAUACCGGAUAGGAGCUCCUGCUGCAUGGUGGGGGUUGGAAAGUUUCGGCGGUUGGGGAUGGACUCGCGGCUUAUCAGCUUGUUGGUGGGGUAGUGGCUUACCAAGGCUUUGACGGGUAGCCGGCCUGAGAGGGUGACCGGCCACAUUGGGACUGAGAUACGGCCCAGACUCCUACGGGAGGCAGCAGUGGGGAAUAUUGCACAAUGGGCGGAAGCCUGAUGCAGCAACGCCGCGUGCGGGAUGACGGCCUUCGGGUUGUAAACCGCUUUCGCCUGUGACGAAGCGUGAGUGACGGUAAUGGGUAAAGAAGCACCGGCUAACUACGUG
rnacentral:rRNA from 1 species